GGGAGUGACUAGGUUUCGACUGGAGUAGUCGGGGCCAUGUGCAUGUCGGACUGAGCAUUCCGUUAUACGGCUCAAACGCGAAUAAACGCAAACAAUACAGAUUACCGUCCAGCUUACGCAGUAGCGUAAGUCUAACCCCGACCACGUCGGAGGACUGCCUCGCCGAAGAGUUCCAUCUUACUCGGACUAUGAGGUAUCACAUCUGAUGGAUAUGCAUUAUAAAAGCUAUGUUAUAGUGUGAGAAUUUUAGCUGGUCUUGCCAAGCUUGGGGUGUUGUGCUAAGCAGGAUGAAUUUAAACAAUACCGACUAAGCAUGUAGAGUCAUGGUUCUAUCUAUUUUAGGACACGGGUUCAAUUCCCGUCGCUUCCACCA
rnacentral:tmRNA from 1 species